UUUGAGUCCAUUCGGAGAAUCCAACAAAUUGGAACGAUAUAGAAAAAAUUAUUAUGUCUCAUGCACAAGAUGACAUGCAUAAAUAGAGAAAUAUACUACUAUUAG